AGAGUUUGAUCCUGGCUCAGAUUGAACGCUGGCGGCAUGCCUUACACAUGCAAGUCGAACGGUAGAGGGGCAACCCUUGAGAGUGGCGAACGGGUGAGUAAUAUAUCGGAACGUGCCCAGUCGUGGGGGAUAACGCAGCGAAAGCUGCGCUAAUACCGCAUACGAUCUAUGGAUGAAAGCGGGGGAUCGCAAGACCUCGCGCGAUUGGAGCGGCCGAUAUCAGAUUAGGUAGUUGGUGGGGUAAAAGCCCACCAAGCCGACGAUCUGUAGCUGGUCUGAGAGGACGACCAGCCACACUGGGACUGAGACACGGCCCAGACUCCUACGGGAGGCAGCAGUGGGGAAUUUUGGACAAUGGGCGCAAGCCUGAUCCAGCAAUGCCGCGUGCAGGACGAAGGCCUUCGGGUUGUAAACUGCUUUUGUACGGAGCGAAACGGUCUGGGUUAAUACCCUGGGCUAAUGACGGUACCGUAAGAAUAAGCACCGGCUAACUANNNNNCNNCAGCCGCGGUAAUUC
rnacentral:rRNA from 1 species